rnacentral:rRNA from 1 species
CCUACGGGUGGCUGCAGUGGGGAAUUUUGGACAAUGGGCGCAAGCCUGAUCCAGCCAUGCCGCGUGAGUGAAGAAGGCCUUCGGGUUGUAAAGCUCUUUCGGCGGGGAAGAAAUUGCACUGGCUAAUACCUGGUGUAGAUGACGGUACCCGCAUAAGAAGCACCGGCUAACUACGUGCCAGCAGCCGCGGUAAUACGUAGGGUGCGAGUGUUAAUCGGGAUUGCUGGGCGUAAAGCGUGCGCAGGAUGUGAAAUCCCCGGGCUCAACCUGGGAACUGCAUUUGAGACUGCACGGCUAGAGGAUGGCAGAGGGGGGUAGAAUUCCACGUGUAGCAGUGAAAUGCGUAGAGAUGUGGAGGAAUACCGAUGGCGAAGGCAGCCCCCUGGGCUAUUUCUGACACUCAUGCACGAAAGCGUGGGGAGCAAACAGGAUUAGAUACCCCGGUAGUC